GACGAACGCUGGCGGCGUGCUUAACACAUGCAAGUCGAACGGAAAGGCCCUGCUUUUGUGGGGUGCUCGAGUGGCGAACGGGUGAGUAACACGUGAGUAACCUGCCCUUGACUUUGGGAUAACUUCAGGAAACUGGGGCUAAUACCGGAUAGGAGCUCCUGCUGCAUGGUGGGGGUUGGAAAGUUUCGGCGGUUGGGGAUGGACUCGCGGCUUAUCAGCUUGUUGGUGGGGUAGUGGCUUACCAAGGCUUUGACGGGUAGCCGGCCUGGGAGGGUGACCGGCCACAUUGGGACGGAGAUACGGCACAGACUCCAACGGGAGGCAGCAGUGGGGAAUAUUGCACAAUGGGAGGAAGCCUGAUGCAGCAACGCCGCGUGCGGGAUGACGGCCUUCGGGUUGUAAACCGAUUUCGCCUGUGACGAAGAGUGAGUGACGGUAAUGGGUAAAGAAGCACCGGCUAACUACGUG
rnacentral:rRNA from 1 species